UACGUAGGGGGCAAGCGUUGUCCGGAUUUAUUGGGCGUAAAGAGCGUGUAGGCGGUUUGGUAGGUCCGCUGUGAAAACUCGAGGCUCAACCUCGAGACGCCGGUGGAAACCAUCAGGCUAGAGUCCGGAAGAGGAGAGUGGAAUUCCUGGUGUAGCGGUGAAAUGCGCAGAUAUCGGGAAGAACACCCGUGGCUAAGGCGGCUCUCUAGUACGGUACUGACGCUGAGACGCGAAAGCGUGGGGAGCGAACAGG
rnacentral:rRNA from 1 species